rnacentral:lncRNA from 1 species
AGGAAGACCCUGGCCUCCAUCUUGAAAACGGAAAAUAAAAACAGCAGACCUAUGAAGGUCGAAGGGGAAGAAAAGCUGUAUCGAUUGUUGAGAUCUGGCGACUUGUUUAAAUUUCAUCAGCCUCACUUCUAUGAACUCUCAGGACAAACUGCAACAGAGUCACAUCGAGUUGAGACUUCUCCAAGGGCCAUGGGGUUGACAUCUGUAUUCUCAGAGCUGAUUACCAACUCCUACCACUGUUAACCCUCAUCCAGGAACAAGCUUAUGUCUUUAACAUUCUGAGUGGGCUUCAGCAUCCUUGCAUAUGUUCAAUUCUUAAAAACCUGUUGAAAUAAAAGAUCAGGAGACAUAGGAAGGAUGCCAGAAGAGAGCGUGGCCUCACGUGUACCAGCUCUCUGCUCUCCUUUGCCUUGGGACGUUCCAUCCCUGGAAGUUUCCCUGCCCACAUCUUUGUAGAGAGUCCAUUCUCCAAGCUUCAGUGUGUCAUCUGUGAGGACCGUGACCCACCUGGUACAUCGCCUCAGGGCAUUCAUUUCAGGCUCCUUCUAAAUGGCCAAGGUACAGUUGACUAAAUACCGUACUUCAUUUCUGGUAUGUUUGGAGAGACAUCUGUUUUUUGCAUUUGGUCUUUCACUCUUUGUUUUUCUCCGGGAGGAUUAUACUUUGUUUGUUCCUCUCAAACUUUACCCAACUGAGAGUGCUAUAGAGUGCUGUGAUUUAAAUAUCAACAGAUUUCUAGGGACAUAUGCACUCUCAGAAAUAUGUGCGUUCUCAGACCUGAGUACCCUGGUGUGGGCUUCGUGGUAUUUUAGGAAGCAUGAAUUGAGAUCUGAGGGCACUAGGUUUAUCUUGAAAGCAGAUGUAGGUAAAUUGUCUCGGCUCUGCUGUGAUCUCUAAGAUUAUGAAGGUAUCUGGAACUCAGGGGAAAAAACAUCUAUUUUAUCACAUCAUUGAAAGUAGUUUCUUACCAUUUAUUAAACAUUGGCUUAAAAUAAUGAUUUUGCCAUUUUUUUCCUGUCACAUUGCAAAUGCUUAUCUAUUGCUUUGACUAAGUUUGCAUGCCUGCAUUUCACCCUUGAAAAAGUAAAGUGUUCAGUUUUUUCUUUUUGUAGAUAGUAUUUAGAUCACCUUUAUCAAUCUUAAAAUAAGAAACCUAAUAAAAAUAACUCCAAAUUGCAAGGCAUCUCUUUAAUACAUAGAUACUUUGUAUCUUCAUUUUAGUUGAAAAGUUAAAAUUAUCUGUAGAGAAAGCAUAAGACUAGAUGAUACCUUUUAAUCUAUUGUGAGAGAUAUGUAACAUGUCAGCAGAUGACAAAAGUAGGAACUGUUUUAUAAAC